rnacentral:rRNA from 1 species
UACGUAGGGGGCAAGCGUUUGUCCGGAAUCAUUGGGCGUAAAGCGCGUGUAGGCGGCCCGGUAAGUCCGCUGUGAAAGUCGGGGGCUCAACCCUCGAAUGCCGCUGGAAACUGUCUGGCUAGAGUCCGGAAGGGGCGAGUGGAACUCCUGGUGUAGCGGUGAAAUGCGCAGAUAUCAGGAAGAACACCAAUGCGAAGGCAGCUCACUAGGACGGUACUGACGCUGAGGCACGAAAGCGUGGGGAGCGAACAGGG